UACGUAGGGUGCGAGCGUUGUCCGGAAUUAUUGGGCGUAAAGAGCUCGUAGGCGGUGUGUCACGUCGGCCGUGAAAACCUGCAGCUUAACUGUGGGCGUGCGGUCGAUACGGGCAUCACUGGAGUUCGGCAGGGGAGACUGGAAUUCCUGGUGUAGCGGUGAAAUGCACAGAUAUCAGGAGGAACACCGGUGGCGAAGGCGGGUCUCUGGGCCGACACUGACGCUGAGGCGCGAAAGCCAGGGGAGCGAACGGG
rnacentral:rRNA from 1 species